GCCCCAGUAGCUCAGCGGAUAGAGCACCCGCCUUCUAAGCGGUAGGUCGCAGGUUCGAUUCCUGCCUGGGGUACCA
rnacentral:tRNA from 1 species